rnacentral:rRNA from 1 species
ACCUACGGGGCGCAGCAGUGGGGAAUCUUGCACACUGGUUUCCACCCUGAUGCAGCAACGCCGCGUGAGUGAUGACGGCCUUCGGGUUGUAAAGCUCUGUCUUCAGGGACGAUAAUGACGGUACCUGAGGAGGAAGCCACGGCUAACUACGUGCCAGCAGCCGCGGUAAUACGUAGGUGGCGAGCGUUGUCCGGAUUUACUGGGCGUAAAGGGAGCGUAGGCGGACUUUUAAGUGAGAUGUGAAAUACUCGGGCUCAACUUGAGUGCUGCAUUUCAAACUGGAAGUCUAGAGUGCAGGAGAGGAG